rnacentral:rRNA from 1 species
GACGAACGCUGGCGGCGCGCCUAACACAUGCAAGUCGAACGAGCGAGAGAGAGCUUGCUUUCUCAAGCGAGUGGCGAACGGGUGAGUAACGCGUGAGGAACCUGCCUCAAAGAGGGGGACAACAGUUGGAAACGACUGCUAAUACCGCAUAAGCCCACGACCCGGCAUCGGGUAGAGGGAAAAGGAGCAAUCCGCUUUGAGGUGGCCUCGCGUCCGAUUAGCUAGUUGGUGAGGUAACGGCCCACCAAGGCGACGAUCGGUAGCCGGACUGAGAGGUUAAACGGCCACAUUGGGACUGAGACACGGCCCAGACUCCUACGGGAGGCAGCAGUGGGGAAUAUUGCACAAUGGGGGAAACCCUGAUGCAGCGACGCCGCGUGGAGGAAGAAGGUCUUCGGAUUGUAAACUCCUGCUGUUGAGGAAGAUAAUGACGGUACUCAACAAGGAAGUGACGGCUAACUACGUG